GCUGUGCCGGUUCGAUAGGGAUACUCAUCAAAUUACAUUGAAAACCGAGCUGACUCCUCUUGCCAAUGGCGGGCCACAACCUACGCAAGUGGGAAGCCGAAAGGCCGGUGGAUUACAACGACGGAGGGCACUCAAAUCUUUUAACAAAGGAGUUUUCAUCACAUCACCGGGCGGCACC
rnacentral:sRNA from 1 species